rnacentral:rRNA from 1 species
AAAGGAAUUGACGGGGACCCGCACAAGCAGUGGAGCAUGUGGUUUAAUUCGAAGCAACGCGAAGAACCUUACCAGGUCUUGACAUCCCUCUGACCGGUCUAGAGAUAGGCCUUUCCUUCGGGACAGAGGAGACAGGUGGUGCAUGGUUGUCGUCAGCUCGUGUCGUGAGAUGUUGGGUUAAGUCCCGCAACGAGCGCAACCCUUGAAUCCAGUUGCCAGCACGUUGGGGUGGGCACUCUGGAUUGACUGCCGGUGACAAACCGGAGGAAGGUGGGGAUGACGUCAAAUCAUCAUGCCCCUUAUGACCUGGGCUACACACGUGCUACAAUGGCCGGUACAACGGGCUUGCGAAGCGGUGACGCGGAGCGAAUCCUUCAAAGCCGGUCUCAGUUCGGAUUGCAGGCUGCAACUCGCCUGCAUGAAGUCGGAAUUGCUAGUAAUCGCGGAUCAGCAUGCCGCGGUGAAUACGUUCCCGGGUCUUGUACACACCGCCCGU